AACUUAAGCAUAUCAAUAAGCGGAGGAAAAGAAACCAACAGGGAUUGCCCUAGUAACGGCGAGUGAAGCGGCAACAGCUCAAAUUUGAAAUCUGGCUUUCGGGCCCGAGUUGUAAUUUGUAGAGGAUACUUUUGAUGCGGUGCCUUCCGAGUUCCCUGGAACGGGACGCCAUAGAGGGUGAGAGCCCCGUCUGGUUGGAUGCCAAAUCUCUGUAAAGUUCCUUCGACGAGUCGAGUAGUUUGGGAAUGCUGCUCUAAAUGGGAGGUAUAUGUCUUCUAAAGCUAAAUAUUGGCCAGAGACCGAUAGCGCACAAGUAGAGUGAUCGAAAGAUGAAAAGCACUUUGAAAAGAGAGUUAAAAAGUACGUGAAAUUGUUGAAAGGGAAGCGUUUAUGACCAGACUUGGACUUGGUUAAUCAUCUGGGGUUCUCCCCAGUGCACUUUUCCAGUUCAGGCCAGCAUCAGUUUUCGCCGGGGGAUAAAGGCUUCGGGAAUGUAGCUCUCUUCGGGGAGUGUUAUAGCCCGUUGUGUAAUACCCUGGCGGAGACUGAGGUUCGCGCUUCUGCAAGGAUGCUGGCGUAAUGGUCAUCAACGACCCGUCUUGAAACACGGACCAAGGAGUCGUCUUCGUAUGCGAGUGUUCGGGUGUCAAACCCCUACGCGUAAUGAAAGUGAACGCAGGUGAGAGCUUCGGCGCAUCAUCGACCGAUCCUGAUGUUCUCGGAUGGAUUUGAGUAAGAGCAUACGGGGCCGGACCCGAAAGAAGGUGAACUAUGCCUGUAUAGGGUGAAGCCAGAGGAAACUCUGGUGGAGGCUCGCAGCGGUUCUAGUGCAAACGAUCUUC
rnacentral:rRNA from 1 species